UACGGGGGGAGCAAGCGUUGUUCGGAUUUACUGGGCGUAAAGGGCGCGUAGGCGGCGCCGCAAGUCGACUGUGAAAUCUCCGGGCUUAACCCGGAAAGGUCAGCCGAUACUGCGGGGCUAGAGUGCAGAAGGGGCAACUGGAAUUCUCGGUGUAGCGGUGAAAUGCGUAGAUAUCGAGAGGAACACCUGCGGCAAAGGCGGGUUGCUGGGCUGACACUGACGCUGAUGCGCGAAAGCUAGGGGAGCGAACAGG
rnacentral:rRNA from 1 species